rnacentral:lncRNA from 1 species
GGUCACGGCGCUGUGAGGCCCUCCACGUGUACAGCAGCCAGGUCAGAUUAGAAACGCCAUUUUGUCAGGUACAAGGUAAUUAAGGUUAUUUAAUACAGUUUCCGUUUCGAGCGUUUAAGGUACUAUAAAUGCUCCCAAUCGGUUUAAACGUCUUAAAUGCGCUACGUUUUAUAAUUAAAUGCGCUUUAAGGCGCUUUGAAUGCGGGAGUAGCUUAAAU